AUGCCUCUACGCUGUCGAGUGAGAAGUGAGAAAUUUCUGACGCCGGAGCGCCGGCUCGAGCUCCUUGAGCAGAUUCGGGCUAGGCGCGAAGCCCGGGUCGCUGUGGGGCUACCUUCAGAUAUAAUGGAUCCGGAGGAGUUGGAGGAGGACGACGAUGAGUUUGAGGAGGAGGGCGGUGAGCCGGAAGAGGAGGAUGUGGGGGACGCUGGCGAUGUGGAUCUACAGGCGGUGCAUGACGCCAUCCUCGAUUCCCUCCGGUCGGAGUCGGUUGCAGAGGCAAGACCCGUCGCCGACAGAGAUGGAGGCGCAGCAGGCCGCGGGAAGGUGGAGAUGCUCACCUACAUGGAUGAGGUCGAGCAGGAGGAGGAUGAGCCGGAGCCCUCCUCUCGGCCCGUCCAGUCAGCGCCCGGCACCGUUGUCGUGGACAUCUCCGACGAUGAAGACUAGAGCCAGCGGUAUUGGGGAUCCCCGGACCUCGUCGAGGUCGCGGGCUAUGGUGGUUGGAGGUCCAUCGGCACUAGCCGUUUGGAUCCUCAGAGGGGCGAUGGAGGCAGGGAGACGAAGACUUUUCUUCUUCCUUGUUGGUAUGAUUUGUUGCUGUUGUUCUUCUCCUUCCUCUGCGCUGAUGCUGAUAGGAGAUCCUGCUUUGUCCGGGCGGAUGGCCUGACCGCGGUGCUGGACCGGUCGGAUGACUCGAGUUCUCUUCCUUCCGGAAGGGACACUUUUCGCGGGUUCGCCAUGGCCAUGGCCAUGGAGGAAGUAGCACAACAUGGCGGCCUUCCCGAGCUAGGGCCAACCGGAGGAGGACCCGAUCUCAUCAGCGCCCUCCCGGAUGAUCUGCUUCUCCAGGUGCUCGUCCGCACCCGCUGCACCCGCGCCGCCGCGUGCACAAGCCUCCUCUCCCGCCGGUGGAGCCACCUCUGGAGCCGCCUUGCCGAGUUCACCUUCCGCGACGCCACGCCCCGCUUGCUCCGACCGGCGCUCGACUCCCUUGCCCACGUCCCCGACAUGUCCCUCCUCGACAUCCACGUCCCCGAGGCGCCCACGCUUUCUCCUCACUACUAUGUGUUGUAUGUGGCCGACGUCGGCUCGCUGCUCCGCGCCGUCACGGGGCUCUCGCCGGUGGAGCUCCGCUUCAACGUCUCUCGCAGCCCGCUUUCUCGCCGGACACGCGACAUGCGGUUCCUCCCCCCUCCCAUGAACCUGCCCAGCUUCCAUCGGGCCACAUCCAUCGACAUAUGCGGGAUGGACCUCUUCCUCCCCGCCGCCGCCGACCCGCCGGCAAGCUUCUGCAUGUUCCCCGCGCUCGAGGUGCUGUCCUUCUCUGGCUGCCACGUCGCCGCCGCCGCCUUGCUCCUCCAUUGCCCGCGCCUGCGCGUGCUCAGGGCGACCGGCUGUUUCCUCGACCAUGCCAUCCGCUCGGCAUCCCCGCGGGAGCUCCUUCUGGAGAACAAACGGAAGUCGACAGUCGGGUGGUUCCAGGUCUAG
rnacentral:rRNA from 1 species